UCAGGGACCAGAGACACGAGCCGGAGCAGUUUUCCAGGGAACCACUGAGGAAUAUCUGACACAAAGCUGACUUCCAUCCAUCCAUCCUUCCUCCUCCAGUCAAGACAAGAUCCACCUUCCAUCUUCCAUGUCGCCAAACUAAAGAAGAAGAAGAAGAAAGAAGAAGAAGAAGAAGAAGCAGACCGGGCUCAGUUGGACAGCGGCCGCGCGCGGACUCCUGUCGUCUGCCCCUCUCUUCUUCUUUUCUACGCAACAAAAAGAGAGUAACCAUUUCGGUCCUGGAGGAAGCGAAGAGGAAGAAGACGCAGAAGCGAAAGGCGACGAGAGACGCGGAAGACGUGGAAGAAGACGACGGCGCAGGUGAAAGUGACAGAGGCAGAAUGAACAGCAACAAAACCGAGAAGGAGAUCGAGCAGAGUGAAUUCACCAACCACGAGGAGGAGGUCCGAACGCUAUUCGUCAGUGGACUACCGCUGGAUAUCAAGCCGCGGGAGCUCUAUCUCCUGUUCAGACCUUUUAAGGGUUAUGAAGGCUCCUUGAUCAAACUCACUUCGAAACAGCCGGUGGGGUUUGUCAGCUUUGACAGUCGAUCAGAGGCGGAGGCUGCUAAGAAUGCCUUGAACGGGGUCAGGUUUGAUCCGGAAAUCCCCCAGACCCUGCGGCUGGAGUUCGCCAAGGCCAACACCAAGAUGGCCAAGAACAAGCUGGUUGGCACCCCCAACCCCCUCCCUUCCCAGCAGAGCCCGGGGCCACAGUUCAUCAGCAGAGACCCAUAUUCGCUGGCUCCCACCUGCAGAUGGAACUCCUCAGGGAUGGAAGUCCAGGCAGUUCUGCUGAAGUAUGUGUUCCUGAUGUGUGAUGGUGGCCGUGGCCGGCUGUGACGGGCGUUGCUGACUGCUUCUCAUGUCCAUUAGAAAAGUAAGGAGGACCGACCGGACUCCAGCAUAGCAGAGCAGCGUACCGUCGGCAGCAGCAGCCUCCUGGGCCUCAGGACAUUCUAGACCCCAGCCUCCAUCACACAUCGAGACCCCCACCACCGUCCCCAAAGUCCCUCCAACUCUUUUUUUUUAUACUGUUACAUACUCUAGAUUUACUGGCAGUGCUUUGGCCACACCUCCACUGACCACUCUGUGAAAAGGUACCGGGCCCGCCCCCUUUGUUAACCACUCGACUGCAGUGACUGUCUGAGGCUACAAUCCACACUGGUACGUUUAAGUUUCAAAAACACACCGCUGUUGCUACGCUUACGCCUUACGUCCAAGCUGCACGUGAUCCUUUGAGGUGGCAUGGUGGUGCAGCGGUUAACCCACCCCACAGCAGAAAGGUUCCUGGUCUGAUCCCAGGUCUGCCGGGGCCCUUUCUGUGUGGAGUUUGCAUGUUCUCCCCGUGUCUGCGUGGGUUUUCUCCAUUUUCCUGCCCACAGUCUAAAGACCUGCAGAUUGUGGUUAGCCGUUUUGAAACUUAAGCGUAUUAUUGUGGAAGUAGCCCAACAUUAGCCGCUCUCUUGCUUUGUGUUCUGUACGUAAUAGAAGUGUAAAGACAAGCCCGUCCAAAAAAUACACUUUUAUUAUGACUUUGCAGGGCCAGACGUGUGGACGUGCGGGCUCAAGCACUGCUCGAUAAUGUUAUUAUAUUACUAUAAUUAUUACUCCUGUGUAUAUCAUUCAUAUUAAUGUUAUUACGAUUAUUAAAUACAUGUUGAAGCAUGACUUUGCAAAAAAACGAAGAAAAAAAAACAAUGCUGUACAUUUUUAGAUAUUUUAAAGAAAUACAAAAAAGGUAUUUUUGUAAUCCAGACGAUGUUUGAAAUGUUUGAUUGGUUUUAUGUUGUGUUGAAGUGUGUGAGGAACUUUUCCUGUUUUCUGUUUUGUUUUGGGCCCUCUCUCUUUAGUGCCAUUAUUAAAAAAAUGGCGUGUCACCCUGCUAUACCAAAGCAGCCCUGUCGGUUUGCUUUUGUCUACUCUAAAUACUGUGUGGUAGGUUUGCCCGUGUGUGUGUCUUCGUGGCGGCGCCUUUCACCCGAUGAAGGAAAAAACGUAUUAGUCCGAUGUGCUGUGGUUCAACCGAGCGGUCGACGCCUGAUCCAGCUCAUCAUUUUGCAGUUUGACGUAAUCAGACGUGUAAAAACAAAAAAAGGCAUUGACAGGAAUAAGCCAUCGGUGGUGAAGGAAGAGUGACCCCCCUCCCCCCCCCUCCUUAGAGACUGCAAAACAUGGCAAACUGAGUCCUGCUAUAAUUAGGAAGCUGUCUCUUCAUUGUCUAGCAGCAGGACAGCAGCACAGUAUGGAGACAUAAAAGACCAAAGGCAUUUUUUUUUUUACACUGGAGAGCUUUCUAGGCGAGUGGAGAUGUUCCGCUUUUUGACUGCUUUGUAGUCCUCAAUCUGAUUUCUUAUGAAGUGUGACGUUAUUUUUGCUUAAUGUCUCUUUUGGUGUCACUCCAAAGAGCCGGUCUGAAACGGAGACGAUAUUCACUUUAGGCAACUUGUCUCUUUUGUCUAUUUUUAGGGAGCCAAUGUGACUCAACCGGCUUUUGUAAAUUCUGAAUUUACAUACCGGUGAUUGUGGCGCAGAGAGCAAAAAAACAACACAUCUUUUGUAAUCUUGUGUAUUCUGGGCCUGCAAUAAUGUCUUUACUGUACGACAUGUCGAGAGAUAAUGUUCCUGUGACAUUUUGACGCCAAAAUUCUCGUUCGUGUCACAAUUUUGCACAAAAACAAAACCUGUGAGACUUUAACUUUCCCGGCGAGGCGAGGUCACAUUUCGCGGUGAUGUGACAAUCAAAAAAAAACUGAAACAAACCUUUUCCCGGUGACGUUUUAGCCCAGAUGUGUACAAUCAUGUUGGACCGGUCAAAUCAUAUAGUCAGUGUUUGUAAUUAAUAAUAAUGAUAAUAUGCACGCACAUCAUAUCGACUGAUUCUAAGCAGAUUUUGCUUUUACGGACAUUUUUGACGCCGAGUGUGGCACCAAAUUUCUAAGUAUUUAUAAGGUGUGUGUGUGUGCGUGUGUGUUUUUAAAUGGGUGUCAAGUUUUUGAAUUUCAUAGAAGAUGCCCAUCAUAUAAUUCAUUGUAAGUAUUAUUGUAAGUUUAAUUGUAUAUUCCUUUUACCGUAGGGGUUCAUUUUUUUUUUCUAGAGCUUCAUUUUUGUGUUUGUAUCUGACUGAUUGGAACAAACUGUAUGUGAUAUAUGAAUACUGUUUUAUCUUCACUGUGAAAUCCAGAGGAAAAACCUGCUCUUUGAACGAAUGGAUCUAGUUGUGUUUUGUCAGCAGUACGGUACAGAAGUUCCUGGAAAUGAACACGAUGAUCCCUCCUUUCGUAGAUGAAACCUACUCCUUCCCCCGUUUCAGUAUACCGUGUGCAUACCUGUGUGUUUUCUGUGCAUGUUCACGGCAUGUGUGUGUGUGUGUGUGUUCUUUUUACUUUUCCUUAAAUGCAUACAGUACUGUUGAUAUUUAUGUACUCCAGCCGCUGUAAGGAGAAACUGUAUUUCAGUGAAUUGCAGAGGUGUGUUUGUUUGAAACCCCCCCCCCCCCCCAAAAAAAAGGUGAUCAAAAUGAGAAGUUUUUAUAAAAUUGUUAAAUGAAGACAUUUCAGGCCGUCCGCCAUUAAAAAUUGACGUCAUU